CACGGAGUCUCUAAGCAGCACCUGGAGCUCAUGAGGACUGCAUAACGAGAGCCCUUUGCAGGCUUCGUGAGUCAGACUCUUCACUGCUCAAGACCCCAGGUGAUUUGUGGACAGGGCAGGAUAAGAUCUGACCUAUGGGGAAGGAUACCGAUGUCUCUACGAAACAGGAGAAAUGUGCUGUAACAAAAUACCAAAAGAUGGGUUCUUUAUAAAGAGAAAGGAUGCUCCUCAUCACUCCUAAUAACACAGUGAGGUUUUCUCAACUGUGGAUCUGAGCAAGUCACUGACCUCAGGUUAAAUCUCAGACUCCAGAGUGAGUUAUGUUAGAUUUUCUGAGAUCUGGCUUAUGAAGUGCUAGAAACAGAGAGACCAUCAAGAUGGCUGCUGUCCGCUGAGAAGAUGAUGGUGACCUCUACCAA